AGAAUUUGUGAAGCAUGUACUAACUCAUCACCGUACGUACAGAUGUUGUUGAAGUUGUGCUCAGAAUCGAUUGGCAAAUUACGGAUAAGAAGUGUGUGUUGAAGAUAUCGUGAACUACGCAAACUUGCAUAAUGCUAGGAAAUUGAUUAUGAUAUGGUUCCCGGGACCUAUAAUAGUGCCCCCACAAUGUAUUUUCAGUAGUUCCCGCACUCUUAAACAUCUCACACUUGAAGAAAACACUCCCGACUUAGGGAGAACUAUCUUACCAAAACCAGAAUCAGCCCGUUGGGAUUUUCCGGCUUUCGAAACUCUGAAAAUAAGUAAUACAUGGUUAUAUGAUCCAGGAGAUAAGAGUGUCAAUCUUUUUUCCAAGUGUGUAAACUGUAGAUCCUUUAUAUAUCUUGACGAACUCUACACCUCUUUUUCUGCCGCUCUCCAGAGAUCAUGGCGGCUUCAAUUCUCUGGAGAAAGUGAACCUCUCUUUUGGACUCGGUAAAAUGGAACAGCUGAAUCUUGAUUUGAGAAUCUCUCAAAUUCAUGCCUGGACCGACUCUCGUGUGAACCAUAUAUGUCCCUUCAAUAGCUUGAAGCGUUUGAAGAUAAAUGCAAAGCCAUUGACGGGAAAGUAAGCGUACAGCAACAAUACCCGUUCAAAUAAAAUAAUGAACUACUUCCUUCAGAACUCUCCAAGUGCUACUUUCUUAGUGGAAUCAUCUCCAAGUGCAACAAUACCCGUUCAAAUAAAGAUGAUCUAUCUAUAUGCCAUCAUAUCUGGGUUCCUCAGUUCUGGAUAUAUCAUUUGUAUUCUUAAAAUUAAUUAUUUGUACUCUUUACAUUGUUAUGUAAAAAAGAAUAUUACAGGAAAAGGGACGAGAGAUUGGACUACGCUAGCUUGCUGGUGGAAAACGGCUCUCGAUGAGAGUCUGAAGAACGUACACAACUACUAUUUUUAUAUAUAUUCAUCUUUGAUUGUCUAGGAACAAGAUUAUUUUUAUAUAUCCAGACAUGACUGCUAUUGUAUGGUGUUCCUAUUUUGAAUCUAUAUUAGAGUAUUUUUUUUAAAA